rnacentral:lncRNA from 1 species
GGUUAGGAUGGGAACAAACCAACUCACAUCGGUUACUCCUUUUGAUUAGUCAUUAAAAGCUUUGCUUUGCUCAGAGAAGAGUUGUUAAGCAUUUGGUGGGCAUGACCACAGAGAAUUUGUUUGUAAGCGUGCAGCCAAACAUUUUUUUAGGUUAAUAUUUUCCUUGUGUAUAAUCCCAACAGUUCAAAACGCAGCAACAGAACAUUAAACAGCGUUGUAUUCUUCAAAGUGUUUUGACUCCUUAUGUUUUUAUGAGGAUAGUCUUCCCCCCUCUCAGUAAUGAUCUAAGAUUAUUAAUUUUUUCCAGUUUAAAGAGAUUAGCAAGCUAACCAAAUUUAAAAAAAAAAUCUAAAUUAGUCUUUUUUUAAAAAAAUAUUUUAGCCAGUUUCUUUUGGAAUUGGGAUUUUAAUGUGUUUUGAGAAAUAAUAUGUUUAGAUACUUUAAAUC